AUUGAACGCUGGCGGCAGGCCUAACACAUGCAAGUCGAACGAGUGGCGGACGGGUGAGUAAUGUCUGGGCAACUGCCUGAUGGAGGGGGAUAACUACUGGAAACGGUAGCUAAUACCGCAUACCAUCAGAUGUGCGCAGAUUGGAUGAGCGUGUUGGUGGGGUAACGGCUCACCAAGGCGACGAGCCCUAGCUGGGCUGAGAGGAUGACCGGCCACACUGGAACUGAGACACGGCCCAGACUCCUACGGGAGUCAGCAGUUGGGAAUAUUUCCCAAUGGGCGAAAGCCUGAUGCAGCCAUGCCGCGUGUGUUAAGAAGGCCUUCGGGUUGUAAAGUACUUUCAUCGGGGAGGCGUUACCCGAAGAGGAAGCACCGGCUAACUCCGUGCCAGCCGCCGCGGUAAUUC
rnacentral:rRNA from 1 species